AGUGAACGCUGGCGGUAGGCCUAACACAUGCAAGUCGAACGGCAGCACAGUAAGAGCUUGCUCUUACGGGUGGCGAGUGGCGGACGGGUGAGGAAUACAUCGGAAUCUACUUUUUCGUGGGGGAUACGUAGGGAAACUUACGCUAAUACCGCAUACGACCUACGGGUGAAAGCAGGGGAUCUUCGGACCUUGCGCGAUUGAAUGAGCCGAUGUCGGAUUAGCUAGUUGGCGGGGUAAAGGCCCACCAAGGCGACGAUCCGUAGCUGGUCUGAGAGGAUGAUCAGCCACACUGGAACUGAGACACGGUCCAGACUCCUACGGGAGGCAGCAGUGGGGAAUAUUGGACAAUGGGCGCAAGCCUGAUCCAGCCAUACCGCGUGGGUGAAGAAGGCCUUCGGGUUAUAAAGCCCUUUUGUUGGGAAAGAAAAGCAGCAGGUUAAUACCCCGCUGUUCUGACGGUACCCAAAGAAUAAGCACCGGCUAACUUCGUG
rnacentral:rRNA from 1 species